UUAUUUUAUAUGCUAUUUACAUUAAUUUCAUGCUGAAAUGUUGUUUACACUGAAGCAAGAAAAGGAAGGAGUGAGUUUCGAAUUUUCAGUUUCGCCCUGAAACCCUCCGGCGUCGGUAAGUCGGUGCGACAUCGCGAAUUUCAAGUUAUACUUUUUUUUGCAUUUGGGUCAUUAUGGCGCACUAACAGUUAUCAAAACUUGCGACGUUCAGGGAGCUAUAUUGUACAUCGUCAAAAUGCGGCCAACUGGUCGAAUCCGUCGUCUUGUCAUCUCUUAUUGGCCCACAGGGCCGCAACGCCACCUCUGAUUGGCUCAAAAAGGCCGACAAUAUGGCGGAAUUUGACGAGGCCCAUGAAUAGAACCCCCAGUUCGCCGUGACGUGUUGAAUUUACACGGCGCCUACUCGAACCUAUUGUUAAUCGUUUAUCUUCAAAGAAAGACUAGACCGAUUUCUAGUGGAACAAGUGACUCAGUGUAGCAGCGGUUUUGAAAACAUUUCCGGCACUGUACACGGGCCGAAAUGCCAGAACGUGCUUGGUAAUCUGUGACGUCACAUAUACGUGUACCGAGGCUGAAAUUCCGGCAUGAUUUUUUUUUUGUUUUAAUGUGAGAGAAAGAAAAUGUGACCUUUCAUUUGUUGCAAUAAUAAUCAACGUUUUCCCUUGUAGUGGAUAAAAACGGACUUUUUAAAGAGUAUAUUGACCAGUCUCACUUGACCUGCUGCAUUUGCUUCUUAGUGGCUCUUUGUGUAGGUAUACAGCGUUCGAACACGUAGCACUGACGUCAGCGAAAUUUUCCGCCACAGUUCACAAUGCAGGUUUCGCAGUUUCAGGUUCGUUCGCCCCGCUCGUUAACAUGAACGGACUGUAGGAUUUCACUAAUGGCGUCAGUGCUACUUUGUGUCGAUGUACGCGCAGACGCAAACGGUGAGUUCAAUGCCUCGACAUGGAAUCAAUCACCUUCCUUUCUUUAUUUGGCAAGGACAGCAACACGACCCUCUUCAAGCACAACAACAUGACCCUGUGCUGGAACCCAUCAUUACGAUUAGAUUUCCGCUAGAUGAAAUGCAUUGCGGUUUAUUUGACAUUGCUCCCUUUCUUUCUUUCUUUCCCAGCGAGUACACAUCACUCUGACUCGGUAUACAGUCGUCGACUGCAAGAUGUCUAUGGACAAGUCCUGCCGACUGGCCUGCAGACUGUCUACAUCAAGUCCUCUAAGGAGACGCAGAUCUACCCCCAAGUUUGGCUCGUACCAACACAUUCCAAGGUUACGCGUUACAGGCUAGCAUGCACCUUCGAGGCUGUGCAUCUGUGCCGCCUGUGUCGGGAGCAAUAAAGACCGCUCUGUGGGCGAUCUCAGCUACGCUGACGGGACAUAUCGGUACUUUAUCGCUGUCGGCCUUAUGGCGAAGGACACAAAUCUAGAAAGACGGCUCCUCUUACUGUCCGAAGCCCAGGAGCGCCGUCAGUGCUACGGGAAAAUAAAAAUAAACAAAGGAUAUCGAACAGGGAAGUAAGUUAGUUGAUGAGAUGAAUUCGGGAGGUUUGAACGUCUGUAACGUGCAGCCCAUAUAUGCGGCGCUUGCUGGAACAGACUCCCCUGUUAAACACUGAUUUAUUUUUAUCAUUA